UGAGCAAUCUGCCCUUCUCUUCGGAAUAAGCGUGGGAAACCGCGUCUAAUGCCGAAUACGACCUCCUUUCGCAUGAUCGGAGGUGGAAAGCUCCGGCGGAGAAGGAUGAGCUCGCGGCCUAUCAGCUAGUUGGUGUGGGUAAUGGCCCACCAAGGCGACGACGGGUAGCCGGCCUGGAGGAGGGUGACCGGCCACACGUGGGACUGAGACACGGCCCAGACUCCGUACGGGAGGNAGCG
rnacentral:rRNA from 1 species